UACAGAGGUCUCUAGCGUUGUUCGGAUUCAUUGGGCGUAAAGGGUGCGUAGGUGGCGCUGUAAGUCGGGUGUGAAAUUUCGGAGCUUAACUCCGAAACUGCAUUCGAUACUGCGGUGCUUGAGGACUGGAGAGGAGACUGGAAUUCAUGGUGUAGCAGUGAAAUGCGUAGAGAUCAUGAGGAAGACCAGUGGCGAAGGCGGGUCUCUGGACAGUUCCUGACACUGAGGCACGAAGGCCAGGGGAGCAAACGGG
rnacentral:rRNA from 1 species